rnacentral:lncRNA from 1 species
GAAAGAGAGUUUAGUGUCCAGGUUGUGGAAAAAUGACAGCUUACUUUUUGAGGGCUCAAGAGGGGGUUUUGCAGAGCCAUAGAUCUUCAUGGAAGACUGGGAUGACAGUGUCUUGGAAGUGGAAACUGUGAAGAUGCAUUGAAGACUACUCUGGACAGCAUUUCAGAGAAACUGCACAGAUUGAAAGAUUGACAGAUGCCUUCUAUGCCUGCAAAAAUCAUCCAAAUAAGGCUUCAACUGAAUUGAUACACAGAGCCAGGAGAUUUUUUUUCCCAAAGACUGAAAAAGAGAGCAGGUGUGAAAACUACCUGCUGUACUCCCGAGAUGCUCAUCUGGAACCUUUCCAGAAAGAUAAAGUUAGCUCUUGGCAAAGUCUCUCUUAGAUCCAUAUGGAAAGCCACUGGAAUUCUUUACUGUCAA